UAACUGCUCAGCUGAACCUGAAGCUUGAUGAAGAAGGCCAUCAAUAAUUCAACAAAAACUAACAGAAUAUGGAUCAGAUUCGGACAACGACUUCUAAGACAUUCACACAACAGGCUAAACAAUUCAAAGAGGGAUCUCUGGAUGAUCGAGCAGCAAGUCCAGCAUUAUGUGGGAAAGAUGCUACAGGUGUACACAGAAAAGGCCAUGUUCAUGUACAAGACACGGUUGGAGUUCAUAAAAGAUUAAGCUGCCUCGUGCUAUACAGACGUGGAUAAAAACUUCUAAGGGAGGCUGCCGAAACAAGCUGUCCAAUGAAUGGUGACUACUCAAGAGGAGCCAGAAAGUCGAUUUGUUAUCAAGGCCAGGGUAUUUUGGGAGUUCAUAUGGCCGGGGGGGGGGGUGCCUCCCAGGCCCCCCCCCCUCCCUUGAGAUCUCGACCGUACAAUCGCGUCGAAGAUUUGCACAUGGGUUGUCUAGGACAUAAUUUACAAAAUUGAAUUGAAAAUUAUUUCACGCAAAUUGUUAAGUGAUAAUAAUAAUUUAUGCGUAAUUAGAAUACAAAAUCAUACUUUUUCCUCUAACUCCCUAAAUAAAGCUCCAAAUGUUCUAAUUUUUGGAAUGGAAACUCUUUGUGGUUUCUUAGCAAGUAUACAUGAACAAAAUUGCAAUAUCAAAUCAUUUUCUAUGUAUUAUAUUGUUUUUUGCAAUUAAGUAUUUCUUUGUUUUUUUAACUUUUUUUUUUCAUUGUUUUUUUCAAUGAAAUUUGUUGGGGACUCUUUUGCGAUCAUGAAAAGCAUAAGAAAAAUACAUUUAGACCAGUAAAACCAAAAACAAUAAUACAUUCAUGAUUUUCGGUUGAAAACACAAUUUGCAUUGACUUUGUACACAAAAUCACGUUUUUGAGCAAUUUUUGGUAUGACAUGUACUUACAUAAUGUCACGUUAUUUCAGAACCACGUACGGGGUGACACAAGAUUGGUCUCAAAAGAUGCACAAGACUAGAAAGAGGCAUGUUUUAAAAAAAUUGUGCGACAGCAUGGUCGCAAAAUUUUUGGAAGGGGGGGGGUCAAAUUGGUCCAAUUUAACUAAGGGUUAACAACUGGGAGGCUGUUAGCUGCCUUUUUACUUUUAAGUCUUGCACAUCUUUUGAGACCAAAUUUGCGAUGCCUGGGUAUGGUGUUCGGAAAUUUCGCAACAUUUUUAUGUACUUAUCCAACACAAAUAGUGUUUCUUGCUAAAAAUUCACAAUUAGUAUACCAGUAAUAUACAUUCUUUUAAGAUUAAAGUCAAAUUAUUUAAUUACAUUUAUAAUCAUAAAAGCUUUAAUAAAGUAUUAAAAAACCCAAAGAGUUGUAUGAAAAUUUUCAAAAAGAAUGAAAGGUAAAAGAAAACAAGAUUACAAUGUCCAUUGCUAGGGGGCUAGUCUAUUCAGGAUAAUUGGGAUUUUAUUCAGUUUUUAAUUGACAUAACAUUAUGACAAGAUCCCUCCAUUUAGUGUAUAAACAGCACAUGGCCAUGAUUGAAAUUCAUAUAACAUUAAAGUAUGCAAACCAGGCAGCUACA